rnacentral:rRNA from 1 species
ACCUGCAGAUGGAUCAUCGC